CCAGAAGGCGAGCACAGCAGACGGACUAGAGCGGGUAAUUUAAAUACGUGUGCAGUUGCAACGCAAGAAACUAAUGCAGCGACUAACACUGCCACUCGAGGACGAGGAACAUCAGGUGAAGCGCUUCAAGAAAGGCGAACUAGUUUAAGAUUAAAUCGAAAUGCCGCAGCCGAGCGUAGCUACCCAGCUUUGCAGCUGCUAAGUGAGUCUGAGCAACCAGUACGUAACUCUUUCGCUACUAAAGCAAAUAUUUCUGAUUUUUACCAACCAGAUGCCCAACCAAGUGCAACGCAGCCGACGCCAGACAAGCAAACCAAGAAGCGACAAAGGUCAGACGGUCUGCUACCAAUGAACCCACCAUCAACAGUAGGAAUCGGAGUAAACUUGCGGUCAAAGGACAACAGCAGUAGUCUUGCAUCAUCAACAAAGGAAGGAAUUGCCAAGAAGAAAUGAGUCCUAGAAAAAAUCUCACGUAUUCCCUCAUCGGACCUCAGACACUUUUCAACCUCUGAACAAAUUAAAAAGAACUGGAACCUUUUAAAAAGGUAUUACAUUUUGAUAUGUUUGCAAUUUUGUGUAGAUCGAUUAAUUUCCAUUAGCAUGAGUAUCAGUUUAUAUGUACUAAUUUUAAAGUUCAUUCUGUAUCAAGUGUUACGUACUUUUUGUAUGUAUUGGAAAAAUAUAGAAUGUUCGUCCUGUUUUUAUUAAACCCAUUUAUCUUCAUUUUGUAAAAUCAGAUAAUUAUUAAGCCAAUCCACCACUUCAGUACUAGGCUAGGGGCCACAAAGUUACAUUCGCGUGCCUCCCUGAAACAUUCUAGGUAUCUUCUGUCUCUCGGACACCUUUUUUCAGCUGUCAAAGUUUCCGUAUCUCAGGGCAACAUAUUCAAAAUGGCCACCAUGUUCCAAAACGAGAGGUCCGGAGGUGCUUCCAAAAAUUGCCGAUUUACUCGAAAAUUUUCACAGACACGCAAAAUUGUCCAAGGACCCAAGAUGUUC
rnacentral:lncRNA from 1 species